AACCUUUACACUGCACGACAGUGCGAUAGGGGGACUCCGAGUGCGAGGGCAUAGAGCCCUCGCUUUUGUACACCGUAAGGUGGUGUACGAAUAAGAACUGGGCAAGACCGGUGCCAGCCGCCGCGGUAAUACCGGCAGCCCGAGUGAUGGCCGAUCUUAUUGGGCCUAAAGCGUCCGUAGCUGGCCGCACAAGUCCAUCGGAAAAUCCACCCGCUCAACGGGUGGGCGUCCGGUGGAAACUGUGUGGCUUGGGACCGGAAGGCGCGACGGGUACGUCCGGGGUAGGAGUGAAAUCCCGUAAUCCUGGACGGACCGCCGAUGGCGAAAGCACGUCGCGAGAACGGAUCCGACAGUGAGGGACGAAAGCUAGGGUCUCGAACCGGAUUAGAUACCCGGGUAGUCCUAGCCGUAAACAAUGCCUGCUAGGUGUGGCUCCCACUACGAGUGGGUGCUGUGCCGUAGGGAAGCCGCUAAGCAGGCCGCCUGGGAAGUACGUCUGCAAGGAUGAAACUUAA
rnacentral:rRNA from 1 species